UACAGAGGGGGCAAGCGUUGUUCGGAAUUACUGGGCGUAAAGGGCGCGUAGGCGGCCUUCUAAGUCGAACGUGAAAUCCCCGGGCUCAACCCGGGAACUGCGUCCGAUACUGGAAGGCUUGAAUCCGGGAGAGGGAUGCGGAAUUCCAGGUGUAGCGGUGAAAUGCGUAGAUAUUGGGAAGAACACCGGUGGCGAAGGCGGCCAUCUGGACCGGAACUGACGCUGAGGCGCGAAAGCCAGGGGAGCGAAUGGG
rnacentral:rRNA from 1 species